AGCUCCAAUAAGGAAAACUAAAGUUGCUGUGUUUAAAAAGCUCGUAGUUGAAUUUCGGGUAUUUGUUAUUAGCUGGUCUAACUGUCCAUGUUAAUUAACAGAUCCUCAUUUCCUGGAUAAUUAAUAAUGAUCUUAAACAAUUGUUAUUAGUUGCCAGAAUGUUUACUUUGAGAAAAUUAGAGUGCUAAAAGCAGGCUCACGCCUAUAUAUAUUGCAUGGAAUAAUGAAAUAAGAUCUCGAUUUUAUUUCGUUGGUUUUAGAAAUUGAGAUAAUGAUUAAUAGGAUCAGAGGGGGGCGUACGUACUGUGGUGUGAGAGGUGAAAUUCUUGGAUCGCCACAGGACGAACAGCAGCGAAGGCGUUCGCCAAGAAUGUUUUCA
rnacentral:rRNA from 1 species